rnacentral:misc_RNA from 1 species
AACGCACCUUGCACCCUGGGGUAUUCCCUAGGGUAUGUCUGUCUGAGUGUUAUUUGAACUCUCAAAGUCCCUUUCCUUUCGACGGGUCAGGGCGCUUUGGAUCAUGGGUGCUUGCGGGCCUGGUCCGCUCACCUCAAAUCGAAUGUGGCAGUCUUCUCUGAAGCCGCCGUCGGGUUUGACCUGGAGUGAUAGAAGUCUUUCGAGAUCUCUGGGAAACCGCCUCUUGGGGCGGUGCCUGUGGUGGUGGGAGGGAGUGUCCUUCAACAGACUCAUCUGACGUUUUUGACCUCAGAUCAGGCAGGAUUACCCGCUGAACUUAA